UGCCAAAUGAUGUCUUCGCAAUAAAUGG
rnacentral:piRNA from 1 species